rnacentral:rRNA from 1 species
GGCGCACGGGUGAGUAACACGUAGGUAAUCUACCCCUCAGUCCGGAAUAACCAGCUGAAAGGCUGGCUAAUGCCGGGUAAGACCACGACCCCUGCGGGGGUUGCGGCCAAAGGUGGCCUCUUCUUGAAAGCUAUCGCUGGGAGAUGAGCCUGCGUACCAUUAGCUAGUUGGUGGGGUAACGGCUCACCAAGGCUAUGAUGGUUAGCUGGUCUGAGAGGAUGACCAGCCACACUGGGACUGAGACACGGCCCAGACUCCUACGGGAGGCAGCAGUGGGGAAUAUUGCGCAAUGGGGGAAACCCUGACGCAGCGACGCCGCGUGGGUGAUGAAGGCCUUCGGGUCGUAAAGCCCUGUCGUAGGGGAAGAACUGGUUGCAGGCUAAUAUCCUGCAGCCUUGACGGUACCCUAUAAGAAAGCACCGGCUAACUCCGUGCCAGCAGCCGCGGUAAUACGGAGGGUGCAAGCGUUGUUCGGAAUUACUGGGCGUAAAGAGCGUGUAGGCGGCUGAUCAAGUCGGGUGUGAAAGCCCGGGGCUUACCCCCGGAAGUGCGCUCGAAACUGGUCAGCUAGAGUAU